GGUUGGGCAGUGCAGUUGCGCUCUGGGUCCCCAGGCGCGGCGCUCUCGUUAGCCGCGUCUGCGCUCCAGUUGGCGAUGAGCGCGCCCUCCAUCCCCCGAGGCGAGCGCUGAGGGGCAGCGGGGUCCCGACCCAGGCGGGCCCGACCCUGGAACAGACCACAGAGCGCCCUGUCCUCUGUCUUUCCCGGGGACCCCGCCUCAAAGCCCGCCCCAGGAUGCCCACCUGCUGACUCUAGGACCCUGGCCCACACCCGGCAAGGGUCCUCCGCGGCCCGCAACCCCGCAGCCGCGGGCUCCACCUUUUACUCCAGAGCUGUCACCAGCCCUCUCCAGCCUGUCCACCCACGUGCAAGACCCAGGUACCUGCACCGAGCCCGCAGGUUGGACUAAAGUUGUCUUCUAGGGAAGUUGCACCGCCGCUGAUGGCCCAAAGAUACGUGCGCGCCCGGCCGGGUUGGGACGCAGUGGGUCACUAUGCAAGGUCUCGGGCUCGGGAACCUCGGUUGGACUGCCCUUGCCUGCAGCUUUGCUAACUGUUGGGUGGGAAAGGAAGGCAAACGAAGAGCUGCCGCUUUCUGCAGCCGGCCUGGGAUGCACUACCGCACGAGCCCGCCAGGGGGCGGGCGCAGCGGAGCCGGAGUUCGGCAGAAGCUCCUGGCCCUCUCAGAGAAAUAGUAUGCUUGAGACACAGUGUUGAUGAUGAAGUUUCCAAAGCAUUUAACUGAUGAUAGUUCCCGAACUGAGUUGAGGAACUGAGGUUCAGUGAGGGAAAGACCCUUGCCCAAGCCACACAGUGGUUCAAGAGGUACAAAACAAGCCCGGGAGGGUGAGCAGGAAGCAGCCCACAGGCCUGCAGAAGAGGCAAAGCAACGAAGAGGCUGUGUGGGUACCCUGCAGCAGCAGUGCGGUUUGAAUAUGGCGACACCAAGACUGCAGGGCAAGGACAGCUGAAGUGAAACCGGAUGGAAGCUUCAGUCUUUCCAGUGACCCAGCCACCUCCCAAGUCAAGAAAGGCCUAAGCAGCACUGAUGCUGUUCUGGGGACCAAAGCUGGAGGUGCUGUUGGGUAGAGCAGGGGAAGAAGAGGCAUGAAUAACAGCACUGAGCUGAGCCAGUCUGUUUGAGAGGUCAGGCUCAGUUCACCCAGGCACAACCUAAGAAAACCGAGCUCACUGCUCUCAGGAGCCCCCUCCCUUGAUCCUAUCAGGCCAUCUGUGGGAGGAGGACACAACCUAAGGGGAAUUCCAGGGACCAGGCAUCUCCAGAAAAACAUGCUGAGGCCCCAGGCAGCCCUACCUUGCCUUCCCCACCAAUUCCAGCAGCCCACUCAUUUAUCUUUUUCAUUAAAAAAGAGAGGCAUUUCUUCCCUGAAGGGCACCCAGUAGAAAGCUGCCUUCCUUCCUUUGUUAUUGAGCAUGCUUUGACAGAAUGUACAAUUUCUUCUGAUCUGUUAUACGUCAACAUCCAAGUAUGUAAGUACGUUCCAGAAGUAUGUUCUCAAGCACCUCCUGUUACCCAGAGAAGCUGUGUAUUAGUAUGAAAUUGAACAUAACCAACCAGUGCUUUUAACCUAGGUGAGAAAAUCAGAGAAAGCAGAAAUCCCAGAACCCCUGGCUGCAGAGUUACAAUUCCACAUGCUGCCCUGUGUGACUGUGGACAAGUGCCCCCAUGCCUCGACAGGCCAAUUUUCUGAGGAUACUGGGCAGUCUCCAGGUUCUCUUACAGCUCCAACUUUCUAUGAUUCUCUAAGACUUGGCAGCAAAGCACACACAGCACAGCAGGGAGCACAGAGUAGACUGUCUGAGAGACUCCCCAGGGCCCACACUGGCAGAAAGAAUAAGGGUGGUGUGCACAGGAAGGGGUAAAGCCUGCUGCAGAACGAGCAUGAGCUUUAAACAACUGAAAUAUCAUUUUUCACCUACCAGACUGGCAAAAAGGAAAAAGGAAACUACCUUGGGGGAAGCUGGCACUCUCAAACAAUGCUGUUGGGAACACAUUUUGAAAUAGCUUUCCAAGAAAGGAAUUCAGCAGUAAGCAUGAAAACCCUGAAACAUGUGCACAUUUUUUGACCCAGCGAUGAACCCUUCCUAGUGAUAUAACUCAGGGAAAUAAUUGGGCAAAAAAAGACAAAGGGAUAUGAAGACAGAUGUUCACUUUUCCAGCAUUGUUGCCAACACUGGGAAACAGUAGAAACUGUGUGUUUAUUAUGUGCAGUAGGUAAAAUGCUAUCUAUAAGGUAAAAUGAUGGAAUGGAUCCUUGUAAAAGUGACAUGGAAAUCUACGUGCCUGUGUCUGUGUGUCUCCCAGAGGGUGGGCAAGAAGGGGAGGAAAAGAACAGGGAAGCCACAGAAAGCAAUAUAUGCAAUGCUGCUAUUCCCCCCCCCAUUAAGUUUAUUGGUACAUUUUUGGUAUAAAAUACAGUUACAUUUA